rnacentral:rRNA from 1 species
GUAUCUCUCUAUGAUAUCAGUAUGAAGAAGAUUUGGACUCUCUUUAGUGUCUAUGGAGCAGCCCAUGAGGGGGAUAAAAAUGAUUUUCUUAGUGAAUUGGCUGACUUCUGCUGCCAUAUUCAAACACCUUUAUUGAUUGGGGGAGACUUCAAUAUCCUCAGAAAUAGUGGGGAGAAGAAUAAAAUAUGGCGUCGAACAACACAUUCUGACUUGUUCAAUUCUAUUAUUAACACUAUGUGUUUGCGUGAGAUUUAUAUGAGUGGGGGGGCGCACACUUGGUCUAAUAAUCAAGCUCAUCCUACCUUGGAGAAAUUGGAUCGUGUGCUUAUGAGUAAUGAAUGGGAGGAGAUGUUUCCUAUGGCUAAUAUGAAGAAGCUCGUUAGGGAGGUUUCUGAUCACAAUGCUCUUUUAUUGUACUCUGAUAAUCAUGUUAUCAGAGCCCCACAAAAAAGAGAGUUCAGAUUUGAAAUAAGCUGGCUAAAAUCUGAUGAAUUUAUUCCUCUAGUUAGCAAAAUAUGGAAUCGGAAUGUGAAUGCCACCGAUCCUGUUGAUAUUCUAAAUAUCAAAUUAAAAAGAUUUAAGAAGUUUUUCAAAGGCUGGGGAUCGAAUAAGUUUGGUCAUGAAAAGAAAAGGAAGCAGGAGAUUAGAGAAGAACUUGCUAACAUUGAAAAAAUAGAAGAGGAGGGGGAUAUAGACCAUGAGUUGUUCUGUAGGAAGACUAACCUCUUGUGGAGAUGAAUGAAAUUCUUGUCAAUGAGGAGCUUUUUUUUGCUGCAGCAGUCUAAUGAGAGAUGGCUGCUUGGGGGGGGGGGUCGUAACACCGCUUAUUACCAAAAAAUUGCUAACGGUAAUAAGCGGAAAAACACUAUACACUCGCUUCAUAUUAGGGAUACGGUGAUAGAGGGGACUGAGAAACUGCUAGAGCAUGCCACUGAUUUUUACAAAAAUCUUUUUGGGCCAGCUCAGGGAAACAUGUUCCACCUUGACCCUGAUAUUUGGGGGGUAGAAGAAAAGCUCGAUGAGCUG